rnacentral:rRNA from 1 species
AUUGAACGCUGGCGGCAGGCCUAACGCAUGCAAGUCGAGCGGAUGAAGGGAGCUUGCUCCUGGAUUCAGCGGCGGACGGGUGAGUAAUGCCUAGGAAUCUGCCUGGUAGUGGGGGAUAACGUCCGGAAACGGGCGCUAAUACCGCAUACGUCCUGAGGGAGAAAGUGGGGGAUCUUCGGACCUCACGCUAUCAGAUGAGCCUAGGUCGGAUUAGCUAGUUGGUGGGGUAAAGGCCUACCAAGGCGACGAUCCGUAACUGGUCUGAGAGGAUGAUCAGUCACACUGGGACGGAGACACGGUCCAGCCUCCUACGGGAGGCAGCAGGGGGGAAUAGUGAACAAGGGGCGAAAGUCGGACCCAGCGAUGCCGCGGGUGGAAAGAAGGUCUUGGGUUUGUAAAGCUUUUUGGUUGGGGAAGAAGAAAAGAAAUUGAAUACCUUCGUUUUUUGAGGUUACAAAAAAAAAAAGCCCCGGCUAAUUCCGGG